GAGUACUCCAAACCCAACUUUUAUAUUGGCACAAAUAAUAGUUUUUUCACUAUAAGCCCUAUAUUGUCAACAUACCAGUCUGAACAUUGUAUUUGUCAACAGUGGUCUUAAAAUAAUGUUUUAAAAACGUAUUUCAAAAUAUAUUCCUUCUUGCAUUUCAUUGUAAGCACAAUACAAAUCGACUAACAUGUAUCUUUUGAAUGAGUUCCUCUCUUUGCAAUGUUUUGAAAUACGGGCUUUUAUUUUGAAGGGUCAUUACCAUAGGAAAGUGACAUCAUCGUUAGUGCUGCUAGCAGAAUAGUAGUGUCAGCAGUCAAUUCUUCCCAAAGAAUUGAUCAGAGGGAGGCAACUUUCUAACUGGAUGCUAAAUAUGCAUAUCGUUCUUCACUAGGAUUUUCACAUAUCCAUUUUUGUAUUAUGUACUUUCGGUCAAGUUGAUGUAAACCAGUUGCGUUAUUGAGGUUAGUUUUGUUCUCAUUUUAACAAGGACUUUUCCCUCCAUGCUCGGGCAAAGAAACGGGAUAGCAACGGGAUGGGUGUAUAGCGGUAUCGGCCUAAAGUGAGAUGGGAUCAUUGCAUUGAUUUCUUGGAUUUGUUUCUGGUGUGAAGUUAUGACAAUGACUGGAUCGAUGGAAACUUCUUUCAAACAAGCUUUAAAGAAACCUCCAUCACAAAGGACAACAGAGGACCUGCACACCGUUUACUGUCACCUCUACCACAUGGAUGUCCUGUCCCACCUCAGGGAGCACCAGCUCAGGUCGAUGUGUACCUCAGCCAGGUAUGAGAGACACGAAGCUAACCACGUCCUGUUCUAGUAAGUACACACACACACACACACACACACACACACACACACACACACACACACACACACACACACACACACACACACACACACACACACACACACAGGAAAACCUAAACAUCUCCUUUGCUUCUCUUGAAGAACAUUGUUUUCCUUUUCUGUUUGUCUGCAGGGUCAAAUACAUUUAUUGGUUGCGUACACAUUUUUGAUGAUGGUUGUGUCCACCCACUCUGCCAAAGUGGGUGAAAACACGCUUUGGUGAUGAAAUUCCACUUAUGUUAUAAAAUAGAUUUUUUUUUACCAAGGCAAAUAAGAUUUUUCAUGUUCUGACUCAUUCAGAGGGGUCUUACUUUAACAUAACCUUUUAACAUUAUAUCCAAAAAGUCUGGGCAUGUGCACAGCUGUGGGUGCAGGUUUCUCGUAACAGCUUUUUAGGAUUUUACAUUUUGUGGUUGUUGUCUUCAAAGUUGUUUCUGCAGGUCGCAAAAAGUGAAAUUCGCACGACACGUGCUGAAUUAAAUGUAAAAGGCUUUGAAAAUAAAAAACUUGGUAUACGUUCAGUGGUCCGUUGACAUUUCAGAGUUACACUUGUUUUUGUGAAAGUCUAAGAAAAAUAACAGGAAUUUCAUAUUAAUAUGAAAAGCGUAUACUAAAAUAUUAAAAUGCUACGUCUCAAUUUAUUUCCAUCUUUCCUCUAUUGUUUUAUGUCCCGCGGAUUUCUUUUUUUUAUAAAAUGUUUUAUUUACACCUUUUUCUCCCCAAUUUCGUGGUGUCCAGUUGGGAGUUACAGUCUUGUCUCAUCGCUACAACUCCCGUGCGGACUCGGGAGAGGCAAAGGUCGCGAGCCGUGCAUCCUCCCAAAACACAACCCAGCCAAGCUGCACUGAUUCUUUACACAAUGCCCACUUAACCCGGAAGCUAGUCACACCAAUGUGUCGGAAGAAAACACCAUACACCUGGCGACCGUGAUAGCAUGCACUGCGCCCGGCCCGCCGCAGGAGUCGCUUGUGCACGAUGGGACAAGGACAUCCCUGCCGGCCAAACCCUCCUCUAACCCGGACGAUGCUGGGCCAUUUGUGUGCCGCCCAUUGGGUCUCCCGGUCUCGGCCGGCUGCGACAGAGCCUGGACUCUAAUCCAGAAUCUCUAGUGGCACAACUAGCACUGUGAUGUAGUGCCUUAGACCACUGCGCCACUCUGGGAAAUACGGAAAUAUCUAAUUUACUUAACUAUUCAGACCCUUUGCUAUGAGACUCGAAUUUGAGCACAUGUGCAUCCUGUUUCCGUUCAUCAUCCUUGAUGUUUCUACAAUUUGAUUUUAGUCCAACUGUGGUAAAUUUAAUUGAUUGGACAUAAUCUGGAAAGGCACAUACCUGUCUGUAUAAGGUUCCACAGUUGACAGUGCAU
rnacentral:lncRNA from 8 species